GACGAACGCUGGCGGCGUGCCUAAUACAUGCAAGUCGAACGCUUCUUUCCUCCCGAGUGCUUGCACUCAAUUGGAAAGAGGAGUGGCGGACGGGUGAGUAACACGUGGGUAACCUACCCAUCAGAGGGGGAUAACACUUGGAAACAGGUGCUAAUACCGCAUAACAGUUUAUGCCGCAUGGCAUAAGAGUGAAAGGCGCUUUCGGGUGUCGCUGAUGGAUGGACCCGCGGUGCAUUAGCUAGUUGGUGAGGUAACGGCUCACCAAGGCCACGAUGCAUAGCCGACCUGAGAGGGUGAUCGGCCACACUGGGACUGAGACACGGCCCAGACUCCUACGGGAGGCAGCAGUAGGGAAUCUUCGGCAAUGGACGAAAGUCUGACCGUGCAACGCCGCGUGAGUGAAGAAGGUUUUCGGAUCGUAAAACUCUGUUGUUAGAGAAGAACAAGGACGUUAGUAACUGAACGUCCCCUGACGGUAUCUAACCAGAAAGCCACGGCUAACUACGUG
rnacentral:rRNA from 1 species